CAGUCGCCACGGUAAUACGUAGGUGGCAAGCGUUGUCCGGAAUUAUUGGGCGUAAAGGGCUCGCAGGCGGUUUCUUAAGUCUGAUGUGAAAGCCCCCGGCUCAACCGGGGAGGGUCAUUGGAAACUGGGAAACUUGAGUGCAGAAGAGGAGAGUGGAAUUCCACGUGUAGCGGUGAAAUGCGUAGAGAUGUGGAGGAACACCAGUGGCGAAGGCGACUCUCUGGUCUGUAACUGACGCUGAGGAGCGAAAGCGUGGGGAGCAAACAGGAUUAGAUACCCGAGUAGUCCCUGUCUCUUAUAC
rnacentral:rRNA from 1 species